rnacentral:rRNA from 1 species
AUUGAACGCUGGCGGCAUGCCUUACACAUGCAAGUCGAACGGCAGCACGGGAGCAAUCCUGGUGGCGAGUGGCGAACGGGUGAGUAAUAUAUCGGAACGUGCCCAGUCGUGGGGAUAACGUAGCGAAAGCUACGCUAAUACCGCAUACGAUCUAUGGAUGAAAGCGGGGGGAUCGCAAGACCUCGCGCGAUUGGAGCGGCCGAUAUCAGAUUAGGUAGUUGGUGAGGUAAAGGCUCACCAAGCCGACGAUCUGUAGCUGGUCUGAGAGGACGACCAGCCACACUGGGACUGAGACACGGCCCAGACUCCUACGGGAGGCAGCAGUGGGGAAUUUUGGACAAUGGGCGCAAGCCUGAUCCAGCAAUGCCGCGUGCAGGAUGAAGGCCUUCGG